rnacentral:rRNA from 1 species
AACGCUAGCUACAGGCUUAACACAUGCAAGUCGAGGGGCAGCACAAGGCAGCAAUGCUGAGGUGGCGACCGGCGCACGGGUGCGUAACGCGUAUCCAACCUUCCCGUUACUCUUGGAUAGCCUUCCGAAAGGGAGAUUAAUACAGGAUGGUGUUCAAAUUCCGCAUGUUAUUUGAACUAAAGAUUUAUCGGUAACGGAUGGGGAUGCGUGACAUUAGGUAGAUGGCGGGGUAACGGCCCACCAUGCCUACGAUGUCUAGGGGUUCUGAGAGGAAGGUCCCCCACACUGGAACUGAGACACGGUCCAGACUCCUACGGGAGGCAGCAGUGAGGAAUAUUGGUCAAUGGUCGGAAGACUGAACCAGCCAAGUAGCGUGAAGGAUGAAGGUUCUAUGGAUUGUAAACUUCUUUUAUACGGGAAUAAAACCUCCCACGUGUGGGAGCUUGUAUGUACCGUAUGAAUAAGCAUCGGCUAACUCCGUGCCAGCAGCCGCGGUAAUACGGAGGAUGCGAGCGUUAUCCGGAUUUAUUGGGUUUAAAGGGAGCGUAGACGGGAGAUUAAGUCAGUUGUGAAAGGCUGCGGCUCAACCGCAGCACUGCAGUUGAUACUGGUUUCCUUGAGUUCGGUUGAGGUGUAUGGAAUUCGUGGUGUAGCGGUGAAAUGCUUAGAUAUCACGAAGAACUCCGAUUGCGAAGGCAGUACACUAAGCCGAUACUGACGUUGAGGCUCGAAAGUGUGGGUAUCAAACAGGAUUAGAUACCCUGGUAGUCCACACGGUAAACGAUGAAUACUCGCUGUUGGCGAUAUACGGUCAGCGGCCAAGCGAAAGCAUUAAGUAUUCCACCUGGGGAGUACGCCGGCAACGGUGAAACUCAAAGGAAUUGACGGGGGCCCGCACAAGCGGAGGAACAUGUGGUUUAAUUCGAUGAUACGCGAGGAACCUUACCCGGGCUUAAAUUGCACUGGACAGGCUCAGAGAUGGGCCCUUCUUCGGACCAGUGUGAAGGUGCUGCAUGGUUGUCGUCAGCUCGUGCCGUGAGGUGUCGGCUUAAGUGC